CCUACGGGGUGCUGCAGUGGGGAAUAUUGGACAAUGGGCGAAAGCCUGAUCCAGCCAUGCCGCGUGUGUGAAGAAGGCCUUCGGGUUGUAAAGCACUUUCAGUGGGGAAGAAAGCCUUGGGGCUAAUACCCUCGAGGAAGGACAUCACCCACAGAAGAAGCACCGGCUAACUCCGUGCCAGCAGCCGCGGUAAUACGGAGGGUGCGAGCGUUAAUCGGAAUUACUGGGCGUAAAGCGCGCGUAGGCGGUCUGAUAAGCCGGUUGUGAAAGCCCCGGGCUCAACCUGGGAACGGCAUCCGGAACUGUCAGGAUAGAGUGCAGGAGAGGAAGGUAGAAUUCCCGGUGUAGCGGUGAAAUGCGUAGAGAUCGGGAGGAAUACCAGUGGCGAAGGCGGCCUUCUGGACUGACACUGACGCUGAGGUGCGAAAGCGUGGGUAGCAAACAGGAUUAGAUACCCCUGUAGUC
rnacentral:rRNA from 1 species